rnacentral:tRNA from 1 species
GCCCCUAUAGCUCAGCGGUAGAGCGCUACAUUGGUAAUGUAGAGGUCCCGGGUUCAAGUCCCGGUAGAGGCU